rnacentral:rRNA from 1 species
UACGUAGGGCGCAAGCGUUGUCCGGAAUUAUUGGGCGUAAAGAGCGCGCAGGCGGUCGUCCAAGUCGCGUGUGAAAGCCCCCGGCUCAACUGGGGAGGGUCACGCGAUACUGGUCGACUCGAAGGCAGGAGAGGGUAGUGGAAUUCCCGGUGUAGUGGUGAAAUGCGUAGAUAUCGGGAGGAACACCAGUGGCGAAGGCGACUACCUGGCCUGUUCUUGACGCUGAGGCGCGAAAGCUAGGGGAGCAAACGGG